rnacentral:rRNA from 1 species
CCUACGGGAGGCAGCAGUGAGGAAUAUUGGUCAAUGGACGAGAGUCUGAACCAGCCAAGUAGCGUGAAGGAUGACUGCCCUAUGGGUUGUAAACUUCUUUUAUAUGGGAAUAAAAUGUUCCACGUGUGGGAUUUUGUAUGUACCAUAUGAAUAAGGAUCGGCUAACUCCGUGCCAGCAGCCGCGGUAAUACGGAGGAUCCGAGCGUUAUCCGGAUUUAUUGGGUUUAAAGGGAGAGUAGGUGGAUUGUUAAGUCAGUUGUGAAAGUUUGCGGCUCAACCGUAAAAUUGCAGUUGAAACUGGCAGUCUGGAGUACAGUAGAGGUGGGCGGAAUUCGUGGUGUAGCGGUGAAAUGCUUAGAUAUCACGAAGAACUCCGAGUGCGAAGGCAGCUCACUGGACUGCAACUGACACUGAGGCUCGAAAGUGUGGGUAUCAAACAGGAUUAGAUACCCGAGUAGUC